rnacentral:rRNA from 1 species
UACGUAGGGCGCAAGCGUUUAUCCGGAAUUAUUGGGCGUAAAGAGCUCGUAGGCGGUCUGUUGCGUCCGCUGUGAAAACUCGGGGCUUAACCCCGAGCCUGCAGUGGAUACGGGCAGACUAGAGGUAGGUAGGGGAGAAUGGAAUUCCCGGUGUAGCGGUGAAAUGCGCAGAUAUCGGGAGGAACACCAGUGGCGAAGGCGGUUGCCUGGAGCUUUGCUGACGCUGAGGCGCGAAAGCGUGGGGAGCGAUCCGG